AUACGGAGGGUGCAAGCGUUGUUCGGAAUUACUGGGCGUAAAGCGCGUGUAGGCGGCUUGGAAAGUCGGAUGUGAAAGCCCGGGGCUCAACCCCGGAACUGCAUCCGAAACUGCCUGGCUAGAGUCCCGGAGAGGAGGGCAGAAUUCCCAAUGUAGGGGUGAAAUCCGUAGAUAUUGGGAGGAAUACCAGUGGCGAAGGCGGCCCUCUGGACGGUGACUGACGCUCAGACGCGAAAGCGUGGGGAGCAAACAGGAGUAGAUACCCGAGUAGUCC
rnacentral:rRNA from 1 species